UGUGGCAUACGGAACUGUACGGCCUAGCUUUGUCGCAAUGUGGCGUCCGAGAAAUGGCGCUGCACCGGCGGCUGUCAGCAAAUUUGGUGCAGACGUUAUGGAUCUACAGGGCCAGGGCAGUAACUGCUCCAUUCUCCUCACCGAACUGAAACCAGGUCUGCACAUUCUCUUCCUUCACAGUAACUAACAUACAUACCACCAGUAUCUCACAUUACUCCCCUGAGUCUCUGCUACAUGUUGCGUUAUUGCCUGGAUAUUCAUGCUUGAUGCUAGCUGCACAAUGAAACAGAUUGAACCAUAUUAAUUUGAGCGUUAGUCUGUCCACUUCUCAGUCAGGUAUUAAUUUUCUCAAAACAUGAUUUAGGCUCCAUUAUGGGAAUCCCUGGAGCAUGAUUUAUGCCCUUUCUUUAAACGGAAAAAAAUAUCAAGUGUUUCGCUAGAGAUCAUAUAUUUUGUGUGUGCCACAGCCACAGAUUUAUCAUUUUGCCCUAUGUCCUUGGUGUUCUACACACAGUUAACUAGGUUGCAUUGUUCCUCUGCAUAGUUUUUCAUUCAUUUCGAUUAGAUUGUGACGUGUGAAGUUUUGUUGUAUAUACAUGUAUAUCUUUAAGUACAAAAAUUAAUGAGAUAUUUAAUCUUGAUAUAUAGUCGCUGCCAAUAUAGAGUUUUUAUUUACAACAAAACAUGUCUGUUUCUUUCUAAUUCAUGAUUGUAGCACCAGCGUUGACUUUACCUUAGCUUCCUGGAGAUGCUAAGCUUACUGUAGUGCAUCUUCAAAUACGUUCUACUUAAUUUUCGCUAUUUUUUUGUAAAUCAAAAUAUCCUGGGAAGGUUCACAUGCACCGAUGUACCUUGGCAUCAUGGUGUCGUGUUGCAUAACUUGUAACAGGCUCGUGCUUUCGUAGGUUGUGUUUUCAGUUGGUCUGGUUUGAGGUUUCCCCAGUCAUGAAAAAGAUUUCUAAUAAUAAACUGAAUAUUACAUACCUUCAAGAAAUUGCUUGGAAGUAUUUACCUAAAGAAGAUGACAAUCCCAAUGUCGUUAUUUAGAACAGUCAUACACAUCAAUACUUUCAAGAACAAGAUGAUAUACACGAAUUAAGUGAUUAGAUAAAUUUGCUAACUGUUCAGUAGAGAAGAAAAUAUAUGGCACAGCACAAUGGUCAGGAUUGAGUAAUGCGAAAGAUACAAGGUAGAGAAUACAUGGUAUGUUGUUCAGUUUGCUAAGUGCAUUCGAUGAAUGUGUCAUCCUUGGUUCAAUUGUUAAUCUCAGAAGUAAAGCUCAUGGGAGCACCAUCAGCACCAAUUUCCUCAAAGUACUGAGGGCUUUUGUGGUUUAUAUUGCCACUUUUCCUAGCUCUUCUAAGCAUGGCAAGUCGUUCUGCUACUUCCUUCAUCUCUGGACGUUCUUCUACAUCUUUUCGUAAACACAUUACAGCCAGUUUGGCAAUCUCUUCUAAGAUGUAAGUAUCUUCUUCAGUUGCAAUAUCUUUGUCAAACAUUGAACCUCCACUAUUUUCUUUCCGAUAAAUGUCACGGAAUUCAACGACGAGCCUACGGCUCCCAUCAUAUACAAUUGGCUUUCUGGUGAUGAGUUCCAAGAGGACAACUCCAAAGUUGUAAACAUCACUCUUCUGUGUUAACUGUCCUGUUUCACUGAACAUCGGGUCUAUAUAUUCCAUGCUCCCUACAACAAGCACGGUGUGAUCUUUGUCUUUUGUAAGAAACUUGGAUGUCCCAAAAUCUGAGAUUUUCGGCAUGUUCUUGUCAUCUAAAAGUAUGUUGGCGGGCUUGACAUCGCCAUGCCGGAUGGUAUGAGUUGUUGAUGAGUGCAUGUAAGCCAAUCCUUCUGCAGCAUCAAUUGCAAUAUCCAGACGUAGGUCUAGUGGGAAAUUAGGGAGAACACUAGUUUUACCAUGGAGAAUGUCCUGGAGACUCCCAUUAGCAGCAAACUCAUACACCAACAUUGGAACAUCCACCUCCAAGCAGCAGCCCAUGAGUUUGAUAAUGUUCUUGUGUAUCAUUUGUGACUGGAUCUCCACUUCCUUGGUAAAUUCCUCCUUUCGAGCUUUGUUUAUCUCAAUGGAAGUCUUAACUGCUACUGCUGUACCAUUUGGAAGAAUCCCUUUGUACACUUUACCAAAGCAUCCUCUUCCAAGAACCUCUGAAUUGUUCUUGGUGAUUUUCUUUAUUUCCUCCUUUGUGAAAAUAUUUAAUGUUCCCACAUUUCGGAGUGUCAAACCCCCAUUCUUUUUAAAAAAUCCCUUUGUUCUUCUCCUUUGGAGCUUCAGUAGCGUGGAAAGUACAGCAAUGAGUAAGAAGGAGAUGCCCAAAGUAAUGCCUACAACAAUCAUGCAUAGAGAUAAUAAAUAUGUAUAUAUCAAUGAAUAUUUAUUUGUGCUAUCGAUUUAUGUAGCGAAUAUAAACAUUGCUUAUUUAAAAAAAAACUGCUUUAUGUAAGCAACUACUAGGUAUAUUACUUGGGUAGAGUUGGUACAUUUGUAUGAAUGAAACUGUUGAAGCUUAUAGACAAAUGGUAUCUUAGUUUACAAAUCAAUAACAAACAAAGAACUCUUUUGGACAGAUCAGGCAAAUUUCAUAGGAAUUUUGAACUUGCAGGGGAUUUGAACGAAAAGAUUACCAUAACAGCUUUUGUUUGGUAGCCCACAUUUCAUUCCAUUUGGUAGAAACGAAAUGAAAUCAAAUUUUUAAUAGGAUUUCAUUUGGUUGAGUUUGAAUUCCAGAUUCAAAAUUCAUGAUUGUCUGUCACAUGGAUUUGUAGAAUGAGGGACAAAUCAAGAGAAAUGAUGCAUUUUGGAGAGAAAUUGGGGUUAUGUAUAGGUGUGAUUCCAUGGAAUUUGAAACCGAAUUCAUUCACCCAAUUCUAUGCCGGCCAGUCCACAUGAUGGGAACAAAAAGAAGGUGUAAUAGUAUUUGACUACUGUUUAUAUAUCUAUCAACACCUAACAAAAUCUCCCUUUGUUUAUCAAGAAGAAAGUAAAUCAAUUUCUGUUUGUGUGUGCAUAUAUACGUACCUAUGGCAAGCUUCGCAGCAAGUUGGAGCUCUGCGUCCGGGGUACAGGGUACUGUGUUGGGGUCGUUGCUCCAGUAACCCGUAGGACAGCCACAUUUGAAAGACCCGUCCAUUUCCACACAAUCAUUGCCAGCGCAAUGCUUGGUCUUAUUCCGACAUUCUUUAAUAUCUGUGUGUGAAGCCAAGCAUACAUAAAUAAUCAUAUAAUUGUCGAAAAUUGACAAAAGGAAAGAAAGAGCUCUCGCCGCUUACCAUUGCAUCCGCCGGGAAGGUAGGCGUUGCCUUCGUAACCGUCUUUGCAACGGCAAGUGUAGCCAGCAGGCCCGUUUGUGGAGUUGACGCACCUGCUGUUAUUGCUCUUGCAGGCAUACUUGGGAUCGGUGGCGUCGGCGCAGGAGGAGGAAUCCCG
rnacentral:lncRNA from 1 species